ensembl:snRNA U6 U6 spliceosomal RNA
GUGCUCAUUUCAGUGGCACAUAUACUAAAAUUGGAACAAUACAGAGAAUAUUAGCAUGGCUCCUGUGCAAGGAAGACAUGCAGAUUUGUGAAGCACUCCAUAUUUUU